UACGAAGGGUGCAAGCGUUACUCGGAAUUACUGGGCGUAAAGCGUGCGUAGGUGGUUUGUUAAGUCUGUUGUGAAAGCCCAGGGCUCAACCUGGGAAUGGCAAUGGAUACUGGCAGGCUAGAGUGCGGUAGAGGGUAGUGGAAUUCCCGGUGUAGCGGUGAAAUGCGCAGAUAUCAGGAAGAACACCCGUGGCUAAGGCGGCUCUCUAGUACGGUACUGGCGCUGAGACGCGAAAGCGUGGGGAGCGAACAGG
rnacentral:rRNA from 1 species